AAGAAAUCCACAAGAAAUCCUAAAAAAAAUUAGAAUUUUUAAAAUUAAAUCUUAAGUAAAUAUUAAUCAAAUAUUAAUUUAAUCUUAAUUAAAAUCCUAAUAGACCUUCACUAAACUCUAGGUCAAAUACUAACUAAAUUUUAAAUCUUAAACCAAAUCCUAUACAAAUUCUAAAUCCUAAAUCCUAAAUCAAAUCCUAGAUAAAUCCUAAACUCUAAACCAAAUCCUUGGUAAAUCCUAAAUCCUAAAUCAAACCUAAAAUAAAUUCUAAGUCCUAAAUCAAAUCCUAAAAAAUCCUAAAUCCUAAACCAAAUCUUAGACAAACCAUGAAGCCUAAAUCAAAUCCUAAGUCCUAAAUAAAUCCUAUAUCCUAAAUUAAAUCCUAGAUAAAUCCUAAAUCUUGAAUCAAAUCCUAAACCAAAUCCUAGACAACUCCUAAAUUCUAAACCAAAUCCUAAUCAAAACUUAAUCAACUCAAAUGAAUCCUAAGAUAGAUUAGAGCUCCAAUAUCUAUUGAUUAAACCAUUGAUUUUAUUUAAAAAAUUACAUAUCUCU
rnacentral:lncRNA from 1 species